UACGUAGGGGGCAAGCGUUGUCCGGAGUUACUGGGCGUAAAGCGCACGCAGGCGGUCUGCUAAGUUUGGAGUGACAGCUGGUGGCUCAACUACCAAAGUGCUUUGAAAACUGACAGACUUGAGGACUUCAGAGGGAUGCGGAAUUCCAGGUGUAGCGGUGAAAUGCGUAGAUAUCUGGAGGAACACCGGUGGCGAAAGCGGCUCACUGGACCACAACUGACGCUGAGGCGCGAAAGCUAGGGGAGCAAACGGG
rnacentral:rRNA from 1 species